CCCAAUUACAUCCCUCUAAUGCAUUUAAAACCAUAAUUGUAUCUUUAAUAUAUGAAGUGGUUUGUUUGACUAAGGGUUGCAGUUGUAUAUCCACGUAAUGGGUUAAUCUAUUUGAUACAGAGUCUAUUCCUGCCACUAUCGGUCGUCCUGGGGGAUUCUUGGUGUCCUUAUGGAUUUUGGGGAGGAAAUAGAAAACUGGGAUUUUAGG